rnacentral:rRNA from 1 species
UGGGGAAUAUUGGGCAAUGGGCGCAAGCCUGACCCAGCCAUGCCGCGUGAGUGAUGAAGGCCUUCGGGUCGUAAAGCUCUGUGGGGAGGGACGAAACAGCACGUGGCUAACAUCCACGGGCCUUGACGGUACCUCCUUAGCAAGCACCGGCUAACUCCGUGCCAGCAGCCGCGGUAAUACGGAGGGUGCAAACGUUGCUCGGAAUCAUUGGGCGUAAAGCGCACGUAGGCGGUCCGGUAAGUCGGAUGUGAAAUCCCUCGGCUCAACCGAGGAAGUGCAUUCGAAACUGCCAGACUUGAAUAUGGAAGAGGGUCGCGGAAUUCCCGGUGUAGAGGUGAAAUUCGUAGAUAUCGGGAGGAACACCAGUGGCGAAGGCGGCGACCUGGGCCAAUAUUGACGCUGAGGUGCGAAAGCGUGGGGAGCAAACAGG